UGGUACCUACGUGGCGCAGCAGUGAGGAAUAUUGGUCAAUGGGCGAGAGCCUGAACCAGCCAAGUCGCGUGAAGGAUGACGGCCCUACGGGUUGUAAACUUCUUUUGUCAGGGAGCAAUUGGGUCCACGUGUGGGCUUAGCGAGAGUACCUGAAGAAAAAGCAUCGGCUAACUCCGUGCCAGCAGCCGCGGUAAUACGGAGGAUGCGAGCGUUAUCCGGAUUUAUUGGGUUUAAAGGGUGCGUAGGCGGAAUAUCAAGUCAGCGGGAAAAAUUCGGGGCUCAACCCCUUCGUGCCCUUGAAACUG
rnacentral:rRNA from 1 species